GGGCCGCUAGCUCAGAUGGUAGAGCAGGUGACUCUUAAUCACAAGGUCGUGGGUUCGAUUCCCUCGCGGCCCACCA
rnacentral:tRNA from 1 species